ensembl:lncRNA
GGAUCCCAAUGGGGAAGGAUCCCAAUGUGGGUCCCAACGUGGAUCCCAAUGGGAGGGAUCCCAAUGGGGAGAGAUCCCAAUGUGGAUCCCAAUGGGGAGGGAUCCCAAUUGGGAGAGAUCCCAAUGGGGAGGGAUCCCAAUGUGGGUCCCAAUGUGGAGAGACCCCAAUGGGGAGGGAUCCCAAUGGGGAGAGAUCCCAAUGUGGGUCCCAAUGUGGGUUCCAACAUGGAGAGAUCCCAAUGGGGAGAGAUCCCAAUGGGGAGGGAUCCCAAUGUGGGUCCCAAUGUGGAUCCCAAUGGGGAGGGAUCCCAAUGUGGAGAGAUCCCAAUGGGGAGAAAUCCCAACGUGGGUCCCAAUGUGAAGAGAUCCCAAUGGGGAGGGAUCCUAAUGUGGGUCCCAAUGUGGAGAGAUCCCAAUGUGGAGAGAUCCCAAUGGCGAG